UACGUAGGGUGCAAGCGUUAAUCGGAAUUACUGGGCGUAAAGCGCACGUAGGCGGCUUGGUAUGUCGGGUGUGAAAUCCCCGGGCUCAACCUGGGAACUGCAUCCGAAACUGCCUUGCUAGAGUAUGGGAGAGGGAAGUGGAAUUUCCGGUGUAGCGGUGAAAUGCGUAGAGAUGUGGAGGAACACCGAUGGCGAAGGCAGCCCCCUGGGCCAAUACUGACGCUCAUGCACGAAAGCGUGGGGAGCAAACAGG
rnacentral:rRNA from 1 species